GUGAGGCUGGAAGGGUCUUUGUGUGAGCUCAGGACGGCGCUGGACAGGUGGGCCCUGGCUCCAGCUCCGGCUGCAGCGUCUUCCCCGCGCUCCCGAGCCUAUCCCUCGGGCGCCGGCCUGGGCUGUCCAGCGAGAGGGGCGGAGGGGCAGGGCCCCGGGCUAGGUCCAGGCCCGCAGCUGGCAUCAGGGGGGGCCUGGGUGGGAAGACCGGUUGGGGUGGGGGUGCACAGACCCGGGGAAUCUGAGACGCAAGGUUUCCGGCUCUUGGCCGCUAGUGAGGAAGGCUCGAGGCCGAUCCUGGCCCAAAGCAGGGCGCCGGGCCAUUGUCAGUCCUGGGAAGGGGGAUUGGGAGGAGCCCCAGAGGGGCGGCCAUUCCCUGGGGCGGCGUGGAAGGGAGGCAGCACCUCCAGGCGACAAGUAGAGCUGGGCCCUGGCGGGCUGCCACGGGGGUGUCUGGCAGUCUCUCCUGGGUCUAGGGCUGUUCCUCUGAGGUCACGAGGUGGUCCUUCGGGUGUGUCUGGGGUAAGCCCCUCUAGAAUCUGGGGGCGGCCUCCCGGGGGCCAUACUGCAUCACGUAGUGGAGUUGGGAAGAUAAAACCAGCACGUGUAAUGUAAUACAUGACAAUGGAAGAUUCUACGUAAUUAAGGGUUAACUCUGAAAUCAGAAGACAAGUUUUCCAAGACUUGGGAAGGUGGAGAGAUCAGAGAUCAGUGAGAGAACAAAGAAUCGGGGUCCAGAUGUCAGGGAUGGAAGUUGGAGAAAGAUGAGGCAGCAGCAGACACUUUCUCCUGUUGGCCUUAAAGAAGCAACCGCCUGUGCUGGGAGAGGGUCACUGGGCUGAGAUUGGUAGGUGGCUCUGGGAGCUGAGGGCCUAAACCUAUGACCACAAGGAACUGAAUUCAUCCCAAAGCCAGAGAGGUGGAAGACGACUCAGAAGAUGCAGAUGCCAAUGCCACAUCCUGGUAAAGGUUCUCGGAAGGACCCAAUGAGACUGGGCUCACUGGGAUAAUCCAGGAUCAUCUCCCAUCUCAAGGUUCUUCAUCGCAUACUUGCAAAGCCCCUUUUGCCAUGUCAGGUAACUUGUUCACAGGUUUGAAGAUUAGAAUGUGGGCAUGUUUGGGGGGCAUAAUUAGGCCUAGCACAAUGCCCAUGUACCCAUCUCCUUGCUUAAACAUUAAACACUUUGCCAAUAUUGUUUCUCCUAUCUCUCACUUUGUUCUCUAAAAAACUCCAGGAAUUUGUUAUUAAAUUUUAUUAAAGCAAAUCCCAGAAAUAAUAUAAUUUGCCUGUAAAUAUGUUAAUAUGUUUCUCUGAGGCCUUUAAAAAUCAUAGCCACUAUGGUAUUAUCGUAAUAAAAUU
rnacentral:lncRNA from 1 species